GUAAGAGGUAAACAACAGGUAGGACCAGUCUGUAGAACACAGAGACGAGGUAAACAACAGGUAGGACCAGUCUGUAGAACACAGGUAAGAGGUAAACAGGUAGAACCAGUCUGUAGAACACAGGUAAGAGGUAAACAGGUAGGACCAGUCUGUAGAACACAGGUAAGAGGUAAACAACAGGUAGGACCAGUCUGUAGAACACAGAGACGAGGUAAACAGGUAGGACCAGUCUGUAGAACACAGAGACGAGGUAAACAGGUAGGACCAGUCUGUAGAACACAGACGAGGUAAACAGGUAGGACCAGUCUGUAGGACACAGGUAAGAGGUAAGCAACAGGUAGGACCAGUCUGUAGAACACAGAGACGAGGUAAACAACAGGUAGGACCAGUCUGUAGAACACAGAGACGAGGUAAACAGGUAGGACCAGUCUGUAGAACACAGGUAAGAGGUAAACAGGUAGGACCAGUCUGUAGAACACAGAGACGAGGUAAACAGGUAGGACCAGUCUGUAGAACACAGAGACGAGGUAAACAGGUAGGACCAGUCUGUAGAACACAGAGACGAGGUAAACAGGUAGGACCAGUCUGUAGAACACAGAGACGAGGUAAACAGGUAGGACCAGUCUGUAGAACACAGAGACGAGGUAAACAACAGGUAGGACCAGUCUGUAGAACACAGAGACGAGGUAAACAACAGGUAGGACCAGUCUGUAGAACACAGAGACGAGGUAAACAACAGGUAGGACCAGUCUGUAGAACACAGGUAAGAGGUAAACAACAGGUAGGACCAGUCUGUAGAAAACAGGUAAGAGGUAAACAACAGGUAGGACCAGUCUGUAGAACACAGGUAAGAGGUAAACAGGUAGGACCAGUCUGUAGAAAACAGGUAAGAGGUAAGCAACAGGUAGGACCAGUCUGUAGAACACAGAGACGAGGUAAACAGGUAGGACCAGUCUGUAGAACACAGUGACGAGGUAAACAGGUAGGACCAGUCUGUAGGACACAGGUAAGAGGUAAGCAACAGGUAGGACCAGUCUGUAGAACACAGGUAAGAGGUAAACAGGUAGGACCAGUCUGUAGAAAACAGGUAAGAGGUAAGCAACAGGUAGGACCAGUCUGUAGAACACAGAGACGAGGUAAACAGGUAGGACCAGUCUGUAGAACACAGUGACGAGGUAAACAGGUAGGACCAGUCUGUAGGACACAGGUAAGAGGUAAGCAACAGGUAGGACCAGUCUGUAGAACACAGGUAAGAGGUAAACAGGUAGGACCAGUCUGUAGAACACAGGUAAGAGGUAAACAACAGGUAGGACCAGUCUGUAGAACACAGGUAAGAGGUAAACAACAGGUAGGACCAGUCUGUAGAACACAGGUAAGAGGUAAACAGGUAGGACCAGUCUGUAGAACACAGAGACGAGGUAAACGGGUAGGACCAGUCUGUAGAACACAGGUAAGAGGUAAACAACAGGUAGGACCAGUCUGUAGAACACAGAGACGAGGUAAACAGGUAGGACCAGUCUGUAGAACACAGGUAAGAGGUAAACAACAGGUAGGACCAGUCUGUAGAACACAGGUAAGGGCUAAGUGACAUUUGUGAGAGAUGGUGAGCCAAUGAGGUAAACUAAAACCAGACCACCAGUCAGUCAGAGAGAGAGGAUGGAUAGAGGUCUAGCAGGUA